rnacentral:rRNA from 1 species
GUUAAGCGACUAAGCGUACACGGUGGAUGCCCUGGCAGUCAGAGGCGAUGAAGGACGUGCUAAUCUGCGAUAAGCGUCGGUGAGGUGAUAUGAACCGUUAUAACCGGCGAUUUCCGAAUGGGGAAACCCAGUGUGUUUCGACACACUAUCAUUAACUGAAUCCAUAGGUUAAUGAGGCGAACCGGGGGAACUGAAACAUCUAAGUACCCCGAGGAAAAGAAAUCAACCGAGAUUCCCCCAGUAGCGGCGAGCGAACGGGGAGGAGCCCAGAGCCUGAAUCAGUGUGUGUGUUAGUGGAAGCGUCUGGAAAGGCGCGCGAUACAGGGUGACAGCCCCGUACACAAAAAUGCACAUACUGUGAGCUCGAUGAGUAGGGCGGGACACGUGGUAUCCUGUCUGAAUAUGGGGGGACCAUCCUCCAAGGCUAAAUACUCCUGACUGACCGAUAGUGAACCAGUACCGUGAGGGAAAGGCGAAAAGAACCCCGGCGAGGGGAGUGAAAAAGAACCUGAAACCGUGUACGUACAAGCAGUGGGAGCCUCUUAAUGGGGUGACUGCGUACCUUUUGUAUAAUGGGUCAGCGACUUAUAUUCUGUAGCAAGGUUAACCGAAUAGGGGAGCCGAAGGGAAACCGAGUCUUAACUGGGCGUUAAGUUGCAGGGUAUAGACCCGAAACCCGGUGAUCUAGCCAUGGGCAGGUUGAAGGUUGGGUAACACUAACUGGAGGACCGAACCGACUAAUGUUGAAAAAUUAGCGGAUGACUUGUGGCUGGGGGUGAAAGGCCAAUCAAACCGGGAGAUAGCUGGUUCUCCCCGAAAGCUAUUUAGGUAGCGCCUCGUGAAUUCAUCUCCGGGGGUAGAGCACUGUUUCGGCAAGGGGGUCAUCCCGACUUACCAACCCGAUGCAAACUGCGAAUACCGGAGAAUGUUAUCACGGGAGACACACGGCGGGUGCUAACGUCCGUCGUGAAGAGGGAAACAACCCAGACCGCCAGCUAAGGUCCCAAAGUCAUGGUUAAGUGGGAAACGAUGUGGGAAGGCCCAGACAGCCAGGAUGUUGGCUUAGAAGCAGCCAUCAUUUAAAGAAAGCGUAAUAGCUCACUGGUCGAGUCGGCCUGCGCGGAAGAUGUAACGGGGCUAAACCAUGCACCGAAGCUGCGGCAGCGACGCUUAUGCGUUGUUGGGUAGGGGAGCGUUCUGUAAGCCUGUGAAGGUGGCCUGUGAGGG